CGUGGCACUCCAUGCGGAGAGAAAGAUCAUGAGAGGAAACACGUAAUAAAUUGGCCUUAGCCAAUGUGUUUGGGCUGUCAUUGCAUACUGUGCCAGCUGAAUGUAGACAAGUAUGAUGCUGUGGUUGACAGUAGAGGCUCCAUCGACUACCACAAGGACUAACUUUCACGCAUAAACAACUUAAUAUACCUUGAAAUGAUGAACUCACCUGACCUUGCCAGAAUUUCAUUAUGAAGUCCAAGGAAGGCAGGAAUUGAGGAAACUACCACUCCCUGCCUGAAUGUUAAAAGAGAAGAGCGAGCUGGGUCAAUUCUUUGAAGAAAUAGUUACAGAAGACUGCUGUUAGGAGAAGGGAUUCCAGGUUUAUGAUCCCCAG